GUGCUUGGAGAAUAAUUGCUCUGAAACAAAAAAUUGGAGAAGAUGUCUCAUAGAGGUCUUCUCAAGUGCCAGGCAAAUUAAUUUCUUAAAAUUCUGAAAUCUUUCAAGUAGAUGUAGUCUGACAAAACAUAUCAAAGGGUUGCUGGUUACUGUCUAAGAAUGCAACUGCAAAGAAUUGAAGCUGCAGCCUUCACUUGCCAAUCUUUGAAGAAUAACGGUGGGGACUUGCAAAUUGGAGCCUGAGCAAUAGAGGCAUAGGGCACAGUGGUGGGACUGAAAAGCUCCUUCCGGCAGAUCGAACUUCUGCCAACGCUGUCCUGCUUCCUAGUUCUAGUUACGAAAGGCCUUCUGCUUAUGAAAGGGGUUUCUUUCACUUCGGGAACUAAGUUCUGCCCUAAAGCUGUUUCUCUUCUUUAUAUGCAUAAUCCCCUUUUAUCCUGGUGAACAUUGUUGCUCUACAUCUUGUUCUGUCCCCAAAACUUUUACUGCGCAUCUUAAGAACGAGACUUGUAAAAUGCUUUUACACUUGUUGCUACCGUGGGCAUUAAGUGACGGCUGCCUUUCCUUCAAGAAAUUUAAAAAUACAAAGCUUGGAUUAGCAAAAACAACCCUAAGAAAUCUCUACUCUUUUCACUACUAGCUUUGUGUUUUGGUGAGCAUGGACAAUGCAGAGUUCGUGCCAUUGUCCGUUGUUCUUAAACGUGCUGGGGAAUUGGUUUUAAUUUGUUGAUGCUGGAACUGUAGAAUUAAGACUUGUUUCUCUUGGCUGUGAUCAUAAUAAAAAGGUAGUGUUUCUGCUUCUUGAAGUGGAAUUACAUACACAUUUAUAGCAUAUUUCAAAACAUUUUAUCUGUGUUUCAAAUAAAUAGAUAACUUUCUAGGUUUUCUGAUGUGUUUCCUGUAAAAUAAUACAGUUUCUGAAAUUUGUACACUCGUUCUCCUGGUUACUGUUGUCAUACUGUAACCAAAAGAAUCAAGCACUGCCUAAAAGCUAA